GCAGAGAAUAGGCCCAAGCGACUGUUUACCAAAAACAUAGGUUUCUGCUAAGUCGCAAGACGAUGUAUAGGAGCUGACGCCUGCCCGGUGCUGGAAGGUUAAGGAGAUCUGUUAGAGCAAUCGAAGCAGUGAACUUAAGCCCCAGUAAACGGCGGCCGUAACUAUAACGGUCCUAAGGUAGCGAAAUUCCUUGUCGGGUAAGUUCCGACCCG
rnacentral:rRNA from 1 species